AGGAUGAACGUUGGCGGCGUGCCUAACACAUGCAAGUCGAACGGCAAUAGCAAUAUUGGAGUGGCGCACGGGUGAGUAACACGUAGCUAAUCUACCUCAAAGCGCGGGAUAACGUGUCGAAAGACAGGCUAAUACCGCAUAAGCUCGCGAUCUGUAGAGGGUUGCGAGAAAAGGCGCAAGUCACUUUGAGAUGAGGCUGCGGCCCAUCAGCUAGUUGGGGUGGUAAAAGCACACCAAGGCAACGAC
rnacentral:rRNA from 1 species